rnacentral:lncRNA from 1 species
CCUCCAUAUGCCGCGGGAGCGGCCCAAGAAAUAGCAACAACAACAACAACAACAAAGAUAAAAAGACAAAAAGACAAAAAAAAAAAAAAAAAAGGCUGGAGAAAUGGACGACUCCUUUUACCCAGGGGGGUAAUAUUUUGAAUUGGGUCCUGAAGGAUGAGUAGGAGUUCACUAGCCAGACAGAGCCAGCAGUUGGCAAAGCCAGAAUUUAAACCUGAAUAGUCUGUCUCCAGGGUCUGUAUUCUCACGCUUGGCCUCACUGGCCUGUGAGACCUGGCCUUGGGAGAUGUGAUUCUUCUGGUCCUGGGCCCCUCAGUGCAGCCCUUGGACAACUGUCUAGCCAUUUCCCAUCCAACCCCUGCUUCUGCCCUUGGACACCCUGCUACCCACCCCUUCUGCAAGGGUGGUGGGUGGUGGACCAGCCUGCAUGGAGAGUCUCUGCCCUCUCUAGAUGGCCUGGAGUCCCGGGACGGACACACAGACUCCACCUCCAUGCAUCUGUGACAGCAGAGGAGGCAUGAGGAGACAGUGAAGGAUUUCCUGUGUUGUUUUUCAGUUCUUCCCACCUCCCGCCCCCCACCCCCAGCACCUAAACUGUGCUUUGCCUAAGGCACAUUCCCAGAUCAUUCCAACAGCUCCUGACAGGUAGAGGUUGGUGGUCACCAUUUUAAACCUGCAGAAGGCAACUAAGAGUAGUUGAGUUGCAUGCCCAGGGUCACACAGUUUAGCAAGUAGAGAGUCCAGGAUUGCUUCUUAAUGUGUCUAGCUCUGAGGCCUGUGAUCCUGUUUUUAAGCCUUGAGGAAGCAGACCAGUUUGUGAUAGGUCUGUGCUUUUCUUUCUUCUUUUUUUUUUGUCUUUUUAUCUUUUUUAGGGCAACACGGUAGCAUAUGGAGAUUCCCAGGCUAGGGGUCUAAUUGGAGCUGUAGCCACCAGCCUACGCCAGAGGCACAGCAACACCAGAUCCAAGCCUCGUCUGCAACCUACACCACAGCUCAUGGCAACACUGGAUCCUUAACCCACUGAGCAAGGCCAGGGAUCGAACCCACAACCUCAUGGUUCCUAGUCGGAUUUGUUUCCACUGCACCACGAUCAGAACUCCUCCUGUGCUUUUCUAAUGACAGAUACUCUUCACUCUCAUUCCAGACAACUCCUAGGCUUCUAACCGGGCCCCUAGGAGUGGCAGGUUAGUGGUAACAAUAGGAUUACGUUGAUUGCAGUGCUUCUCAAACUUAUGCAUGCAGAACAGUCACCAGGGCUUUCAGUUACGAAACGUGUAAAUUUUAGUAAGUUAGGAGUGGGGUACAGGAGCCUACAUUUCCAGCAAAUUUCCUGAUUCUCAUGCUGGUAGCCCGCAGAUCAGUUUGGAAAUCCUGACUUCUUGCACGUCUGCUCUGAGCCCAGCCCUGUUCUGGGCCUUUUGUUUUGAUCAUUUCAGCCAUCAGAAGAUUGCUUGAGGGGGGGCAAAUGGAUGCAAAAGAAGGUGAGGAAUCUUGAAAGGGGCUUCUGCUGGUCAGAAUGAAGACAUUCGUAACCAGCGUGUCUAAAGUGUUCAUUUCAUCUUCAGACUGAGGAAACUGAGGCUCAGAGAGGUUCUGUGACUUGCCCAAGGCCUAGCAGUUCAUAAUAGCAGAGCUGGAGUUAGAACCCCUCCGUCAGCUGCUGGUGCCUGUAUUCUUCUCAGUCCCUCCUUGCACUGUCUCUUCUGCAAAGUCUCACACACAGACUCUUAGAGACACAGAAUCCAAGUCAGUGUGGGGAGGUUGGUGGUAGUGGUUCCUAUCAUUUAUUGAGCAACUACUGUGUGCCACCACAGGGUGUAGAAUGUUGAACACACAGAAAUGACCUUGGGUAUUGCACAGAUUUCUCAAUUUUUAUUUUUUAAUUUUUUAAUUUUUUUUUUUUUUUUGGCUUUUUAGGGCCACACCUGUGGCAUAUGGAAGUUCCCAGGCUAGGGGUCGAAUCGGACCUGGAGCCCACUAGCCUAUGUCACAGCCACAGCCACAAGAACAUAGGAUCCGAGCCCCAUCUGCGACCUACACCACAGCUCAUGGCAGUGCUGGAUCCUUAACCUGUUGAGUGUGGCCAGGGAUUGAACCAGCAUCCUCAUGGAUACUAGUUGGAUUCAUUAACUGCUGAGCCACAAAGGGAACUCCCCACAGAUUUCUGAUUUUGAGCAGUGUACUGAGGAGUCCGUCUCAGGCAGGGGCUGGGGGACAAGCAGUGAAAGAGAAGGUUAUCUCUCAGAAAGAAACAUUUGAGAAGAAAUCUGAAGAUGGGGUUAAGCAUUAGCCAGGUAAAAAGAGAGAGAAAGAUUCAAGGCUAUGAGAAUGGCAUGUGCAAAUGUCCUGUGGUGGAUGACCUAUAGCAUGUUCAGUGUAGCUGGAGUAGAGAGGGAAAGUGACCCAAGGUGAGGCUGAGGGUCGCCAGGGGCCGGACCCCUUGGGGCUCUGUGGACCAGGUGAGAGACUUGGACUUUUUGGACUUGAUCCCAAGAGCAGUGGAAAGAGUAAAGCCACAAGUGUGUGUGCGUGUGUGUGUGUGUGUGUGUGUGUGUGUGUUCAUUUUCAAUUCAGUAAACUUUAAUCUUUCUUUUCUUCUGUGCCAAAAGACCAGAUUUAAGCCUACAAAGGAAGAAAAGGCAGACAUCCAUAGCUCACCAGGUGUAGGAUAUGAAACUAAGCAGGGCCCUGUGUCCCCCAUUUUUUGUUUUUAGGAAAUGGGCCUCAUUCAGCCUCCAUGGCCUUCCCGGAGUUCCAAGGGGCAGGUUCAGACACUUGCUGAUCUUGGAAGGGAGGGGAUGCAGAGACAAGAGGUCAAGAAACUAUAGUGCAGCCUUGGGGCAGGGUCCUGGUUCCUCCUCAGAGGGUUUACAUAAUGAUGUAGGCAUCUUAUAUGCCUAAAAGAAAAAAUUAUGUUCCUUAUGCUUCUUUGCUUUUUUUUUUUUUUUAAGGGCUGCAUCCUUGGCAUGCUGUUUCCAGGCUAGGGGUUGAAUCAGAGCUACAGCUGCCAGCCUCCACCACAGCUCAUGGCAAUGCUGGAUCCUUAACCCACUGAGCGAGGCAGGGAUCGAACCCGCCUCCUCCUGGAUGCUAGUCAGAUUCAUUGCUGCUGCGCCACAAUGGGAGCUUCUCCUUAUGCUUCUUUUUUAGAAAUUAACAAAUCAGAAGUGAAUAUUUCAAAACCGAACGGCUUGGAGCCUUCCUUGUGCUUCUCCCUCAUUUAAUUGCACCCUAAACACAAUCACCUGUAAGCUAAAGAUUAGGCACUCUGAGCACAGUUGCCUGUGAGAUAAAGACGAUAAGCACAAGUUGUUUUUCAGGAACUUUCCUAGUUCUAAUCUCUGGUCAAUACGUCCUUUUUACAAGUACUGUUAUUCUAGGAAAAGUCAAGGUGUCAUAACCCAGAAGACUACCACCAGGAUCACCAGCUUCGAUGACUAAGAGUCCCCGAAAGAGGAGCAUGCAUGUCUGUCCCAACCCUGAUUCUUAUCUGAAACCCUAUUUUUCUCCGUUUAGACGCUAAAACUCUCUGCGGUUCUUCUCCAAGGGGGGCGCAGUCUUUAAGGCACUAGCCUGCUGGGGCUGCCUUUGCCUGGCAAAGCAAUAAAAGCUAUUUUUUUCCUCCUUCACCCAAAACUCUGUCUCUGUGUUUCUCUUCAGCAGCGGUGGACAGAGACCGAGUUUUGGCAACAGGGUCCCCUGGCCCAGGACGGGGUGCCAGCAGGGAGAUGGUAGGACCUGAAGUGCCUUAUUAACCUCUCCCUGGCUGCCGAGUGGAGAUGGACUUGGGUCAGGGGGCAGGAGUGGAGCUGGGAGACGGUGGUCCAGCCCGGGCCCAUAGUUGUGGUGAGGGAGAGGCAGGCAGAGAUCCUGAGGGCUUGGGGGUCUCUUGGGGUGGGGCAGGAGAUCCAGCCUGUGGCUUUGACAGGUAAGAAGAGAGCCCAGAAAGGUGUGUGAGCCACUCUGGGUCAGGGUCACACAGCUCGUUACUGACUCAGGGCUCAGGUUCCUGGUAGCUGCUUUUGUAGCAUCCUUCUUCCAGGCCUUCUGGUGGCUGUGACCCCCCAACUCCCCCGUUGUGGGGUCUCUUGGCUUCAGGGGAUAGGGAGGCUUUAUGAGCACAGAUUCUGUCUUUGAAGUAUCUGUUGGGGAAGGGUGGUGCUCUGAUCUCUGAAUUCUUUCUCUGUGACCUCUGCACCCUCCCCAGGCUUUGAAGGAGGCCACAAAAGUGGGGCUAGAGCCCUGUGCCCACACAGUUCCUCACUGGGCAGGGCUGGGGGCCUUCCAAGGAUCCAAGGAGGAGAGAAAGGAGACAUGGAGCCAAAGCCUGGGCCUCUGCCAAUAGGGUCUCCCCAGAAAUGAGACACCCCCUGAUCUAAACGUCUUGAACUGGAAACUACUGGCUGCCAUUUAGGAUUCCCCCACCCUACUCCAUCCCUGUUAACCCUCUGGCAAAUAAAACCUCUGAUGUCAAUUAAAUUAAUUUCUAGCUCUGCAGGGCUCUCCUCACUCCCCCACUCUGGUCUAAACCAUCCCUCCCAGGAUCCCAGAAAGGCAUACCUCCCCCGUCGUCAACCUCACUCCCUCCAUGCCGGAGCCCCCAUUGUCCUCUUUGGGGUUCAGGUCCCUGUUUCUCCAGAGCCCACUCUCCCCUCAGGACCCUUCUCCUGGCCCCUGGACCUUGGAUCCAGAUCUGAUCUUUCUGUCUGGGGACUGGGUCCCCCGCUCUCCUGGAGAUGAGACACAUACACACCUACACACACACACACACCCCAGGGACUGGAUCCUUCUUGCUCUGACAUUGUAGGUGCUCAAGAAAUGUGUUCUUGAGUUCCCCUUGUGCCUCAGCAGGUUAAGGACCUGACAUUGUCUCUGUGAGGAUGCAGAUUUGAUCCCUGGCCUGGUUCAGUGGGUUAAGUAUCCGGCGUUGCCAUGAGCGGUGGUAUAGGUCACAGAUGCAGCUCGGAUCUGGCGUUGCUGUGCCUGUGGUGUAGGCUGGCAGUUAUAACUCCAGUUUGACCCCUAGCCUGGGAACUUCCAUAUGCUGCAGGUACAGACAUAAAAAAAAAAAAGUCUUCUUUUCCUCCUGUCACCCCUUUUCCCAGCCCCCCACCUAGUGGCCCUUCCUGAGCCCCUCUCUGCCACAUGAAUAUUUUCGCUCAGAGAACCAUGUGCUCUGUGGCAACCAAGCCUGGGAAGCAGCUCCUGUUAACUCAGAACAUUGGGCGGAAGAAAGAUGAGGGCAGAGAAGGGACAGGGAAAAUGCUCGGCGCUACCAGCUCAGCCCCCUGGUCCUAAUGUCCUGUGGGUCAGGGUGAAGCAAGUUUGGGACGAGACAGAGAAACUCCCCUUCCCAUAGCAUAGGCAGGAGCUCAGUUGUGGAAAUCAUUGCACUGGCAGGAGACAGCCAGCAGGUUUGGGAAUGAGGUAGGCUGGUGUAAGAGCCACAGAGGCUUCUUCAAGAAAGAAGCCAGGAUUUCCUGAGCCUCUGGCUGCCAUCAGGAGGACAGUACCCUGAUCCCUAGUGUCGGUGCAGUUCUUUGUGACACCUGUUCUGUUUGUCCUCGUACCAGUGUGGUCCACGGAGCGGGAGUCUCUAAAGAGGUGGGCCCUAUGGGUAGUUCCCACUGUGGCUCAGCGAGUUAAGAACCUGACUAGUAUCCAUGAGGAUGCAGGUUCGACUCCUGGCCUCACUCAGCGGGUUAGGAACCAUGAUCGCUGAAAGCUGUGGUAUAGGUUACAGAUGUGGCUCUGAUCUAGCAUUGUUGCGGCUGUGGUGUAGGCCAGCAGCUGCAGCUCUGAUUCAACCCUUAGCCUGGGAACUUCCAUAUACCUCAGGCACAGCCCUAAAAAGAUAUAUAACUGAAUGAAUGAAUGAAAGAAGGAGUGAGU